GCGAGCGUUAAUCGGAAUUACUGGGCGUAAAGCGCGCGUAGGCGGUUUGUUAAGUCGGAUGUGAAAGCCCCGGGCUCAACCUGGGAACUGCACCCGAUACUGGCCGACUUGAGUGCGAGAGAGGGAGGUAGAAUUCCAUGUGUAGCGGUGAAAUGCGUAGAUAUAUGGAGGAAUACCGGUGGCGAAGGCGGCCUCCUGGCUCGACGCUGACGCUGAGGUGCGAAAGCGUGGGUAGCAAACAGGAUUAGAUACCCUGGUAGUCCACGCCGUAAACGAUGUCUACUAGCCGUUGGGGAACUUGAUUCUUUAGUGGCGCAGCUAACGCAAUAAGUAGACCGCCUGGGGAGUACGGCCGCAAGGUUAAAACUCAAAUGAAUUGACGGGGGCCCGCACAAGCGGUGGAGCAUGUGGUUUAAUUCGAAGCAACGCGCAGAACCUUACCAGGGCUUAAAUGUAAGUUGCAUAGAUCAGAGAUGGUCUUUUCUUCGGACUACUUACAAGGUGCUGCAUGGCU
rnacentral:rRNA from 1 species